GGCUCGGUAGCUUAGUUGGUAAAGCGCUCGUCUAGCAUACAAGAGUUCUGGGUUCGAAUCCCAGCCGAGCAC
rfam:Aedes aegypti strain Liverpool supercont1.377 genomic scaffold, whole genome shotgun sequence.